rnacentral:rRNA from 1 species
GACAGCAGCCGCCGCGGUAAGACGAACCGUGCGAACGUUAUUCGGAAUCACUGGGCUUAAAGCGCGUGUAGGCGGGAGGGCACGUCCGUCGCUGAAAUCCCCCGGCUCAACCGGGGAACGGGCGCGGAUACGACUCUUCUGGAGGAACGUAGGGGGACCUGGAACUUCCGGUGGAGCGGUGAAAUGCGUUGAGAUCGGAAGGAACGCCCGUGGCGAAAGCGAGGUCCUGGACGUUUACUGACGCUGAGACGCGAAAGCCAGGGGAGCGAACGGGAUUAGAUACCCCAGUAGUCCCUGUCUCUUAUA